ACCUUUUCUCUGAAUGAUUCUCUCUGUUUUCAUUUCUCUGUGGGUAAGGCUCUCGAUCAAGCUCUUUCAAGGGGUGGCAUUGCUGAAACUUGUGCAGUUCUGAAAAGGGUUGGCUCCCAUAUUUAUCCUGGAGAUGGAGCUGCAUUAUCUUUAGAUACAUUAUGUCUUCACCUUGAAAAGGCUGCCUUGGAGUGAUUGGUUUCGGGGGUUGAAUCGGUUAAAGAUGACAAUGUGGCAAGGGCUCUUCUUGCUGCUUGCAAGGGUGCAAUAGAACCUGUCUUGAACAUGUAUGACCAGCUAUUAUCACAUGGAGCAAUUUUGCCUUCCCCAAAUUUAAGAUUACGGCUACUCUGUUCUGUGCUGGUAGUACUGCAUGAUUGGGCAGUGUCUGUAUUUGCACAGAGAAUAAAUACAAGUACUACUGGAGCAUCUCUAAUUCUUGGCGGAACAUUCUCAGUAGAUCAAACAGUAAUAUUUAGCCAAGGGAUUCGUGAUAAGAUCAUAAGUGCAGCAAACAGGUCAAUUUCUUACUUUUAGUUUCUUCACUUGGGCUGUAUGAAGUUUUCUUUUGAGCAACUAGAUCUAGAUGUGUGCAUUUGUGAAGCUGUUGUAGCCUACCACUUGCUCCAUUUUGCGCUCUGCAGUUUCAGUUCAUUGCUUUUGUUUCUACCC